UUAUAAGGAAGGCGUCGGUCCUCCAUUUCAGCCUUUCCCUCCGCCAGGACAUGGCCGUAGCAUUUCUGGGCUUUUAAAUACUGGACUCUUUGGGGUCU
rnacentral:lncRNA from 1 species